CUGUUCUCUGUACUGUGAGCUUGGUGUUUUGUUGUUUUUUUUUUUUUAGAUUCCACAUGUAAGUGCAAUCACACAGAAUUUGUUUUAUUCUGUCUCACUUCACUUAUUUCACUGGUCACAGUGCCCUCGAGGUCCAUCCGUGUUGUCAGAAAAGGCAAAAUUUCAUUCUUUUUUAUGACUGAAUAAUAUUACAUUGUGUAUAUAUGCUACAUUUUCUCUAUUUAUUUGUCAUUGUAUACUUAGUUUGUUUUCAUGUCUUGGCUGUUGUAAAUAAUACCGCAGUGAACGCAGGAAUGUUCACUUUCCAAGUUGGCAUUUUCAUUUUUUUUUCAGGUAAGUACCCAGGGGUUCUGUUUUAUUGUUGCCUGCUGAAAAAUGGCAAAUAUCAACAGUUAUGUUCAUGGUUCUCAACAUUUUGAGUCACAGACCCCUUUGAUGAAAUCUGUGGUUUCUCUUCUGAGAAGAGUGAAUCUACACACAAACUCAAUUUUGAUAUAAUUUCAGGCCCAUCCUCCCCCAUGGAAUCUUUCGUUAUUAGAGAAGAUGAACUAUACCAAUUGCUUAAAAAGGAAGAAAAUGUUCUUAAUAUUUACUAGGUUAUAAAAAAUUUGUUUCUGUAAUAAUAUAUUUCAAACAUACAGAAAAACAAAUUGAAAGUAAAAAUAAAUUAUCAAAUACUAUAAGUUUUAAAAUAUUUGUUUAAAUAUUAUCAGUUUUAAAAUAUUUUUUUUUAAGUAAUAAAAUAUCACAGAGAAAAUAGAAACUUCCUGUUUAGCAUUUUUGGCCCCAUUCUCCUUUCUUCCUCCUUACUAGUUUGAAACCUCUGUCUUGAAUUUAGUGUUUAAUACUCCACACAAUAAGAGUACUUUAUGCUCUUACUGCCUUUGUAUACAACUGUAUACAUACAUAUUCAUACAUACAUGUGUAUGGGGUUUCCCAGGUGGCUCAAUGGGUAAAGAAUCUGCCUGUAAUGCAGGAGACUCAGGGGAUGCGGGUUCAAUCUUUGGGUUGGGACGAUGCCCUAGAGGAAGGCAUAGCAACCUACUCCAGUAUUCUUGCCUAGAGAAUCCCGUGGGCAGAGGACAGUCGAUAGGGUCACAAAGAGUCAGACACGACUGAAGUGACUGAGCAUACAUACAUAUAUAAAUAUAUACACACACACACACACACGUGUAUAUAGUAUUAUUUAUAUGAUUUCAAACAUUUUUUUCUUAGUUGUGCUGAAAAACACAUGAGAUCUUCCCUCUUAAAAUUUUAAGUGUGUGGUACAUUAUUAUUAACUCCACACACAGUACCGGGCAGCAGAGCUCUAGAACUUCUUCAUCUUGCAUGACUGAACCUCUGCACCUACUGAACAGCACCUCCAUUUGCCGCUCCCCUCCAGUUUGUGGCAGCCACUCUUCUACUUCCUACUUCUAUGAAUUUGACUGCUUUAGCUACCUUAUUAAGAGAAGGCAAGAGUACUGGAGUGGGUUGCCAUUGCCUUCUCCAUAUUCACAUUGACUAUAUUAAUAUUAUAAAUUUGAACUUAUAUAUAAUAUACCAUUUACUUUUUUUUAAUAUAUUAGGUUUGGUGUAUGUUUGUCAACUCAAA
ensembl:lncRNA